GGGGAGGAACGGGGGAAGGGGGUGCCUCAGCGGGCCCAUGCCCCUGAGGGACCAGCCACAGGAUGGUAUAGUAGAGAAUAGAGUUUAUUCAGGGCAUGCGGGGAAUUAAGAGGGUAGUAGAGGCAGAGAAAAGCAGAGAGAAGGAGAGUAGAGAAGUAGAGGCCCGCCAUGGUGACGUGGAGAGAGGGGGGAAGGGAAUGGGGAGAGAGGAGGUGCAAGGGAAAAGCAAGGAGUAAGAGAGUAAAAGAGGGGAGGGGGCAAGCAGUCCCUUUUAUAGUAGAACAGGCCCACCUGACUGUUGCCAGGUAACUGUGGGGGUGGAGUCCAGACAGAGUACCAACACUGUGAACAGUCAGAAAAAUGUCUAAAAUGCAGAUGUUAAGGAAUUCUAGACAUCUGUUUAUCUUGUAGAUGAAGAAACCCAAACUCUGAGAAGGCUGCAACACAGCACCCCUAGAGACACCACCCCUUUUGGUGUCUUGACCAGUCACAGAUGGAGAGUCCCACGGACUGAGACGACAGGGGUCACCUAAGACCAUCAGAAAACACAGGGUUCCAGGUCUAUUCUGUCUGCCACAGACAAAUGGUACCGUUCACACACCGGCCACACUGUCUACGUGCUCGCCUCUAACCGGAAGGGAUCUCAUCUCAUGAUGCUGGACUUCAUCUUCAAAGCAAGGGGGCUUACAGUAAGCCCGAAUGAUUUCUACCCAUCCCUGAGGACUCCUGCCCCACCAAGCCAUCAAAUUGACUUCCCCCAGUUCUCGUAAGAGGAGGUACUCGAACAUCCCUGAGCCAGGCAGGCAAACGCCAGGGUCCCCAGGGGAAGACCUGAGAGAGAGAAGCUCACAAUGGACAAAUAAGAGUUCUAAGGAAGCCCCAAAGGCUGGACAUCCUCUCCUGCACGUGUGCCUCACGUCCAAGCAGCGUCAUUUUGCAUCAGCAGCUGACCCCCUCCAGGAGCGGGUGCUGACAUCUAAUUGGCACUGAAAACGAUGAUCAUGACAACCACUUGAUGUUGCUGGAGGCUUUUGCCAUUUAUCUGGGAGUCUGGCUCACAUCACAUCUUCUUAAGAGCAGAGGACUCAUUAAUUACUCAUGGAGCACAAGUCAUUAUUGUCCUUAAUUGUCACAUUGAGGUUGCUGUUGGAAGUGUCGUUCUCUGUCAACAUGAAAUAGAUUUUUCCCUUCUGUAAUUUGCUUGGCACCAUUUUCCCUGUUCGUGGGUGGAAGCAUCGGCCAACAUUGCAGGACCCACCUGCCUGAUAAUUUAAGAGUUCAUCUUCCUGUUUGCCUUUGAUGUACCCUGGGAACAUGGCUCCCUAGUUUCCCUGGGAACACAUACCCUCACCUGGAUUCCAGCCUCACACCAUGGAGACGUGGCUCCAUGGCAGACCAAGGAAUUCUUCCUAUGAUCUGAGUGGGAUUGCAGGCUGCCUGUUGGAUAGAUGUCUCCAGAGCAUCCUUACAUUUCCGUCACUUGCUUUGCAGACAUGAGGUCCUGAGUUUGCCCCUAGGAGCCAUGGAAAAAGCUGGGUCUGAUAACGGGUUUAUAAUCACAGCCCUGAGGAGGCAGAGACAGGGGGACCCCCAGGUCCUGGACACCCAGCUGAACUUAACCAGUGAAUUCCAGGCCAGUGAGGGACCAUUUCCAAAAAAAAAAAAGUGAUGCUAGGCAUGGUGGCAAACCCCUUUAAUCACAGUGUUUGGGAGGCAGAGGCAGGCAGAUCUUUCUGAGUUUAAGACCAGCCUCUCCCUGUGAUGACAUAUUUUCCUGAAAAUAUCUUUUGCCUUAGAAGAGAAGAAACGUUUUCCAGAUCCCACAGCAAGUUUAUGAUAUGCCUUCCAAUCAUUGAAGACUAUGUACCUAGCCUGCUGUCCUACUGUGUGCUUGGCCUGUUUAACUUUGACUUACCUUUAAGAGAUAAUGUAGCUAACCCUCUUGCCUUGAAUUUUCCUCGGCUUCUAUGACCUAACCUACACUCAUAGCUGUGCAUCUGGCAAGUCAGGGAAGAACUAGGCGCCUGAUCUUGGAAUCUAAAGGUUGGAAGUCUACAGUCAUUCCCCCUCUGUACUCUGCCUCGCUGUGUGUCUUCAGGACACUUCUAUACUCUGUGAUUUUUGCACCUGGAGUCCUUUGUUUCUCUUUGUGAGAGAUCUCAGCGGGUGACCCUGAGUGUCCUGUAGUCAUCUUGCAACAGAGCCGCAAAGCCAGAAGACACAUGGGAAGAUCAGCUCUGAAAACUGUGCACUGCUGAGCUGGGGUUAGGGACUUGCAAUCUCCAGAGAUUGUCACAGGGAAAAGGAGACCUGCUAAACACAGGGAGGGCCCCAACAGUGACAGUGAAAGCUAAUAUUGACCAUGGCCAACAGCAGUGGCUGAGGUCUCAUUAUGGACUGGACCGGAUUACAGACCAAAAAGGUGGUAGGUGGAUUUCUGAGUUUGAGGCCAGCCUGGUCUACAAAGUGAGUUCCAGGACAGCCAGGGCUAUACAGAGAAACCCUGACUGGAAAAACCAAAAAAAAAAAAAAAAAAAAAAAAAAAAAAAGGUGGUGUUCAUGACUGUUCCGUCACGGUCCUAGCACAAACAACUUAAUGGAAUGAUGUUUUGUUUUGUUUUGUUUUGUUUUGUUUUGUUUUGUUUUGUUUUGUUUUAUUUUGAAUGGGGCUCACGGUGUCUCAGUCCACCAUGGUGGGAAUGGUAGCACAGUAGUACAGCAGAGCUCAUGGUGGCAGGAGGGUGUGAAGGAGACUCUUCACAUAGUAGCCAACAGUAAGUAGAGGGAGCUAAGUCAGCAACAAGAACAACUAUUAACAUAUCUUUCAAAAUGUCCUGGAUCCACUGGCCCAGCCUCUACAGCCUUCAAGACCACACCCAUUGGGGGGGAACCAGUGCCCUCUUCUGGCCUCGUUGGGUACUGCACUUACAUAUCUCGCAGUCAACCCACAUCAAGUAAAAUCUUUGAAAGAACCUUAAAAAUUACAUGUGUUCAUGUUAGGAGGAGGCAUAUGCCUGGAACAGCACUGUGGGAAAGGUCUGAGCACAACUUGUGGAAGUUGGUUCUCUCCUCCGCCAUGUGACUCAAACUUGGGCCAUCAGCCUGGGCAGCCAGUGUUACUAUCUCACCACCACCGCUCCUUAGGUUUUUUUUGUUUUGUUUUUACACCUUUUCUUUUUAAUUGGGGAGGGGGAAGUACCACAGCAAACCUAUGGAGAUAAAAAAAUACGUUUUGGGGACUUCGUUCCCUCCUCCCACCAUGUGGGAACUAGAGCUCAAACUCUACACAUUGGGUCUGGCAGCAAGCUAAGUCACCCCAGCAGCCCCUAUGUAAAAUUUCCCUAACCCACCAAGAUUAAACCUACAAGAUUACUGGUUACAAAGGAGUUUCUUUCAUUCACUGCUGGGACUCAGCCUGUGCACAUAAUCAUGGGAUAUUUGUGUGUUUCAUGGAGCUUUAAUCAAAGCCAUUUCUUGUGCCUCGGCUAAAAGACUGGCGAUUUCUUCUGGAAGACUGCAUUGUAGAAUUUUAAUAGUCACAUUUUAAUUCAACGUAGACAUCCUCCCCGAAUUUACAAGUGUCAUCAGCAAGCACUGUGGGAGCCUGACACUGUCUAAGGACUUCAUCCUGAUUGGAGGCACAGCAGGCAGGCGACAGGUACAGAAAGCCGCUUUCACUGCAAUGAGCAAGUAACUGGAGAGGUCAGCCGCGUCCUGUUGUUGCUGUUAUUUUAUUCAUUACGCAUUUAUACUUCUGAGUCCGUUUAUUUAUUCCUUGUUCCUCUGCAAAUAGAUGAAGGUGACGUUUGGUUCACUGAAAAUGCCCUUUUCCCCACAGCUUUGAAUGCCUGGAAAGGCUGCCCUUGCUGAAGGUGCAGCUUGUGGGGGAACCUUAUUCAGAAGCCAGAGGAGCCUCAUGAAUAAUCUGGACCUUUGUGACUCUCCAGAUGUAACUCAAGAUGCAGCAGGUGCUCCCUGGUGCUCCCCAACAACAGAGGACAGGCUUCCAGCUGAGUCCUCAGUCCUACAUAUACCCAGUGUCCUUUUCUCUCUUCUUGCCUUUGUCUGUCAUUCCUUGUUUCUGUGGGUCCUACCAGGAGCCCUGGUGAGCCUCUUUGAGGGGAUCUAUGCAGUGGCAUGAGCUUUCUAACUGCUUCUUCAGUGGAUUUCCUCUAGCCCUGGAGGAGGAGACCAAUGGUGGGCAGCCAUCCCCAGACGGACCAUUCACAUGAUCAGGCUGCCUGAUACUUGCAACUGAAUUCUGAGGCGGGUUAUGUGUCUGCCAUCUGUUCUGUGAGCUGAGCAACAGAGGAAGACAUGUGUCAGGGAAGAGGCUGGAGCUGCAUAUUCGGGGGGGGGGGAUGCGGCAAACAUACAGUGGAGGGGGCUGGGCUCCCUGAUUAAGCCGUUAGCUGCCUGGAGAAGUAGGCUUGCUGAGUGCAUACAGUUUGAAUCUAUCCCGGCAGACACUGGACAGGCAGAGCAUGAAAACCAGACACAUACACAUGCACCCAUUGUCUUGAGGUUUCUAUUAAACCUCCUGAAAUAGUCAGAGUGUGUGUGUAUGUGUGUGUGUGUGUGUGUGUGUGUGUGUGUGUGUGAGAGAGAGAGAGAGAGAGAGAGACAGAGAGAGAGAGAGAGAGAGGAUGAAUAUGUGCAUGAGUAUGUAUAUGUGUAUAAGUGUGUAUGUGUGAGUGUGUAUGUGAGUGUGUAUGAGUGUGUAUAUGUGUGUAAGUGAACAUGUGUAUGUGUGAGAGUGAGUGUAAAUGUUUGUGAGUAUGUGUAUAAGUGUGGAUGAGUGUGUAUAUGUGUCUGUGGUUAUAGUGUGGAUUUGUGUGAUAGUGUGUGAGUGUGUGACUAUGUAUGCAAGAGUGUAUGUGUGUAUGUACGCCAGUGUGCGAGUGUGUAUGACUGUGAGGGCAUGUGUGAGUGUGAGGGCAUGAGUGUUUGAGUGCAUGUGUGUGAGAAUGUGUGUGUGAGUGUGCAAGGGUGUGACUGUGUGUGUACAUGUGAGUAUGUGAGAGUAUGAGUUUGUGACUGUGUGUGCUGUGGGCAUCAUAUAAGGAUUAGUUUUUCCUGAGGUUUCUGUUACCCACAACGAAGCAAACAAAAAUUUUCCCAUGUGAAAAUGACUGAUUUCACUUGAGUAUUUAUAGAGAUGA
rnacentral:lncRNA from 1 species